rnacentral:rRNA from 1 species
UUGCACAAGACUGAAUCUGGAUUCCCAUCUAGUGGCAGACGGGUGAGUAACACGUGGGUGACCUACCUUUUCGUUGGGGAUAACAGUUGGAAACGAUUGCUAAUACCGAAUAAAAUGUAAGAGUCAAUUUUACAUUGAAAGGAGCCUUUAAAGCUUCGCUUAGAGAUGGGCCUGCGGCGUAUUAGCUAGUUGGUGGGGUAAUGGCCUACCAAGGCGACGAUCAGUAGCCGGUCUGAGAGGAUGAACGGCCACACUGGAACUGAGACACGGUCCAGACUCC